GCGGGCGGGGCGGGGCGGGGCGGAGCGGGGCGGUCGCCUGGUGCCGAGGCCGAGGCCGAGGCCGGCUCUCGCUACGGUCGGCUGAGGCAGCCGGGUUUGGCGUCUGGGCGGUGGCGUUCGGGCUCGCCGCAGCCAAAGGUUAUCUUGAAGCAACGCUGGGCGUAAAUCUGCAGCGUGGUCAUUCCAACCGCGCACUUUCUUGCGUCGAGAUUAAAGAGAAUGUUUACUUACCACAGAUUUCUGGUGUGUAUGAAUUCAUAAGACCAAGUUCACAAGCCCAUUUUGUGAGUGGGAGAGGAUACUGAAGUAGGAAAAAUUACCUUCCAGUUCAGCACAGUUAACAUUUUAAAUUUUAUUCAGAUUAAGAUAAAAAUGUAUUUUCCCUGUACUGUAUGAUAGAUUCAUCUCUCCAGUUUUGUCGCAUUGUGCAGCAACAGGAAUAGUGUCCUCCACAACAAUUUUAUUAUGAGCAGCAGCUUGAAACUCUUUCUGCUCGUAAGUUCUAUUAAAAAACCAAAAACAAACAAAAAAAAACAGUCAAGAAUUCCAUAUUAUCUUUAAUUUUGCCAGUUGUCAGACGAUGAGAAAAGAGAAAAGCCUCAGUUCCUUCCAGGGCAAUUCCAGGGCAAUCCAAACCACCACUUCCGGGACCAAAAAACAAACAAACAAACAAAAAAUCCAAGUUGGUUACAAAGUUAAGAAGAACACAGGCUAUAAUGCGUCUCAACAUAGUGAAAAAAAGUAUUUUCAGAAAAUCCUAAAAACAUCUGUAAAGUUAAAAGAAGAAAUGCAGGAAGACCACUGCUAGGCAUAGAAGGAGAAGCUAUGGCAUAACUGAACGCUGAACUGCUAAGUGAUUUUGUUAAUAGUUCAGGACUGCGUUUUCCAGUAGGCAACACGUUAUUCAUUUGGAGUUUUCACGAACCACAGCCAUUGAAAAAUGGUAUCUUGCUUUCUUACUCGAGUUGUGUCACUACUAUCACUGUUACAGAGAAGAAGACAAAACAAGAAACAAGAGAGACCUUGUUGCUUCAGAAUUUUAUACCUUAUAUAGAAAAAGACAAGAUGAUGUUGAAAAAAACAGACAGAUGAUUGUAUUCACUUUUUUUUCUUUUUUUUUAAGGAACAGCCCUUGAUACAGUCAAACAUAGCUUUGCCAUCAGAUAUUUUUGUCUAAACUAGAAAAAGUACCGAUUUCAAAAUAGUGCUAAAGGUGAUAUGUCUAUGUGAAAGAUGCUGUCAACUUUACAAUAGAGAACAUACAUCUGUUGUUUUUUCCUGCCAGAGUCGUAUGCAAGGUUAACACUGAAGGUUACUCUGAAAAAAAUCAUCACUCCCCCCACAAAUAGAAAUAUGAAUUGGACAGGUGGGAUUCAUACUUGGAGUGGCACAAGUGACCAAGUGACAAAGGAUCAGUUUUUAACAUGUAAGAUUUGGGUGACGAUCUAUUAUUCUGUCACCUUUCCCAUAGUUUGACUCAGUGGGACAUUUAGAUUCAAUGACAAGUUUACUAGUGACACUCAAAUGCAACUACCACAGCAUUUCCUUGGUUUAGUACAUAAGCUCUGUCACAAUCAGAAAUGUGACCAUUAAAGUGACAAGAUCACCACUGGAAUAACCUCCUGUCAGGAAAAAGGGUAUGACAGGACAUGCAAGUGAAGCAAUCUUUAUUACCUUAAUGUCAAAAGAACUACUGAAGUUGUUCACAAAGCUGUACAUCACAGAAAAAGAUAGGACAACAAAGUAAGGUCACUAACCUUGAUUCUCCAUCACAUAACUCAGGACAAAAAAUCAGGAGUUGUCAAAAACAGUUUGUUGCUGGGGUAAUAUGUCAGGAAGCUGGACUUGAAAUACCAAUCUCCUAUGGUACGCAUUAACUGUCUGUGGGCUUCCCCUUCCUAAAGCAUUUUGUUUGAUCUGUGAAACACUCAACUGUCUUGAGAUGGAGCUUUAUUCCAUAAAUGACACUGUCAUGGAAACACUUUUGACAUUUAGGCUGUGUCACCCUGGGGCUAGGCCACACUUGUUGAUGGUGAGCUCUGGGUGAGGACCCUUCAACUUUUACCUAAUUCACAAAUGACUCUGGAAAUGAGGAAACCAGAAAAAAAAGGCCAGCGUAGAAACUAAACAAGGUACUACCUGAGUUUUGAAUCAUUUUUACUUUCUGGUUUUAAACUAGGAGGUUACUGGUGGUUCAGUAACUUCUCUGUAUAAGCAGUAUUUUUACUCUAUAGGGGAAUGUCAGUACUUCAGAAAAGCAACUUUUAUAUACCGCACAUAUAAAAGAACAGCAUAGGUAGAACAGCUAAGCACGUUUAAAGAAAUGCAUUGUAUAAAAUGUUCUAACUGUAAACCCUGACAAUUUGAAGCUGUCUCCGCCAUGUAAGUGGGAAGCAGAGGGUACCAGACCUACACAUCUUUUUCUAAACACUUCACAGCAUGCCUUUUGGUGCACGGAGAGUCCCAGGGCUGUGCAACAACUCAGCUAAAGAAUAGAGCAUGGGAGACCAUGAAGGCUGUAAACGGAUCAAAAUGCAGAGGCAGGAAAAACAGAACUGAGCGCGGAUUUCCUCACGGCCAGGAGUGGGCAGUGACUGCCGGCAGCGAGACGGUCGAGGAGGGAGCGUGGCUCUGCCCUUGGCCCCGCCGAAGGCGCUCCUGUCCCGCGGCCCCUCGCCCUCCAGCGCCGCCGCGGCGUGCGGCCCUUCCCAGCCAGCAGCGCCCGGUCCCGUCUCGUCCUCCCUGGGACCCGCAUCCCGUCGCCGCCCGGCCCGGCCCGGCCCGGCCCGACCGCCCUCCCGAGCGGCUCUGAACGCCGGCAUCCCGGGAAGAGUGGCCGAGCGGCCGGGGAAGCUCCCGGCGAUGCCUGGCGGGGCGGGACUCUCGGAGCGCGGGUGCCAGCGCCGCGCCGGCCGAGAGCCCGGGUGCGGAAGGUCCGCGGGCUCGGGGCCGGGGCCGGGGCCGCCUCUCCGCGGUGCUCCCCUCGGCAAGCCCGCAGUGCCCCCGCCUGGAGCGUCGGGUGGGGGCUGGCAGGCUCUUGGCGGUCCGGGCCGCGGCGGAGGGCGGCGGGGAGACGGAGGCGAGGGUGCCGCGGUGUGUACGCGCCCGGCCGUGGUCGCUGAGGCCCUCCUGCCAGCUGUGGCGUUUACCUACGCUAUGGCGCGUUCCGUCGCCUUCCAACGCCUGCGAAGUGCGGCGGCCUGAUGGCGAGAGAGAGCCCAUUUGCUCUCUGUAUACCGAGUCUCCUGGGCUGUUUCCAGCCACCUACAUCUUAGCCCUGUUACCAGAAAAGUCCUUGUGGCCGAUUUAUAGGGACCCAUAACUUUAUAUUUUAGAUAUGUACCAGGCUCUUGGGCAUGACUGGGACUGGGGCAUGGGUUUUGCUCAGCCUCAGCUCCUGUCUGUCACAAUUUUCCAUUCUGUGCACAAACCACAGCAUGUACCUGGGACUGGUCUCAUUCCAAUAACUUACCAACUCCUUAUUAAAGAAGAACAAAGUCUACUGGCUUAGCUAGGCUUUUAAAACUUGAGUUUAGUACAAACAUGAACUUUAACACAUUUGAGAUGUUGUAGUGAUGUGUAUAUCAUGUUGAUAGCCAUGUAAAAUGUGUUUAUGAAUGCUGUCAGUUCUGGCUGUAUGUUGAAACAAAAGCACUGAUUUUGUAAAUUAACUGCAAUGUAUAAAAUACAGUCUUUUGAACAUUAUUGCUUCACUGCAAUAAAGCAAUGUUACCUAGGGUUUUAUUAAAAUAAUGCUUUCAAGAGAGAA